rnacentral:rRNA from 1 species
CACGUAGGGGCCAAGCGUUGUCCGGAUUUAUUGGGCGUAAAGAGCUCGUAGGCGGUUGGGUAAGUCGGGUGUGAAAACUCCGGGCUCAACUCGGAGACGCCACCCGAUACUGCUCUGACUUGAGUCCGGUAGGGGAGUGGGGAAUUCCUGGUGUAGCGGUGAAAUGCGCAGAUAUCGGGAGGAACACCGGUGGCGAAGGCGGGUCUCUGGGCCGAUACUGACGCUGAGGAGCGAAAGCGUGGGGAGCAAACAGG